AGAAAGUGGUCUGUAUCGAAGUUAAGUGCAGCCGUUUGCGCUGCUCUGACCUAAUCUGCGUUGAUCGAGGACUUUCAACGCUCCAGCGAGUUCCUGCCGGUCCCUGCCUGCCGGUUUCCUUCCCUGGCCUGCCCUGCUGUCCAGUAUUCGCCUGCAUAGAAGGACUGACUGGUUGAUCUGGAACAGUCGCGGGCCCAACCUUACACCAUGGAACCAUGCCAAAGUAAUGGUGUGGCUGUGCCUUUAAGAGUUGGCCUGCCUGUCUCCCACAGCAGCACAAGAGGCUCCUGGCAUGAGGAGGGUGAGUCAUAAACCAAAUGAGCUCCACAUCAUCACCAGCAGACAGAGCGGGGCUUCCUCCACCACAACGACGCCCUGACACAGCACAGCGGCUUGAAACAGCACACUCUGCACCAAAACACCCAAACGACCUCUAAAAGCAUUACAGCACCUCUGGCCCUGCGGGACACUGUCACUACAUUGUCAGCGGCUUGCCUGCCCUGAGUGAUACAGAUUCAUCUCAAAUAAAGGUUCAAGAUUAGGGGAUGGGGGUGUGCAGAUAUUUUAGAGCUUUUCACUAAUGUAUUAUUAAGGUUUGCAAAGGGACAUGCAUACAGUAGCCUACAUAGACACACAUAC